rnacentral:lncRNA from 1 species
UCGGCUUCUGCCGCCGCCUCGACGGUGUCGCCGUCGCCGGAGACGCCGCCUUUCCUUCUCUCCCUCAACAUUUCUUUCUCCUGAUCCUCCCUCAUCUCUCGCCCUCUCUCAUCCCUCAGUCUCGUUCUCUGUCACGCCAGCACAGUCGACGCCGCACCAUCGUUUCUUUGAGUUCUCUCUCUCCUUCAACAUAUAUUCCUCUUCCGGUCAACAGCAACGGCCUCCAUCGCCGCCCCCUCGUCGACAGCAGCAUAACGCAGCCGCCGCCUCCCCUUUUCCAGAUCUGGCGCCGGCCGCCCCUACUCUUUCUCCGUCGGUCACCGUGUCGCAGGCAGCGCUCGGCGUCGUCGUCCAGCCGUCUCCCUCUCCGCUUUUCCGGCUGUCCAACAGCCAUUCACCCCAAAAUUCCUCUCCUUUGCUUUUUAUCUUUUUCUGGUUUUCAGCAAAAUAAGAUGACCCUACGAACAAAUGGCAUUUCCUCUCUCUCCUCUCUCUCCUUUCUCUCUCUCUCUCUCACACACACACACAAAGACACAAAUGAAAAUGACGAUGAUUUCUGCCAUUACAAAAUUAUUUUGGGGACAUAAUGGGUAAGGACAUUGUUAUCUAAUUUUUAACAUUGGAUACCAAUCGAAAAACUGCUUAAACCCAAUAAUUAAUCUUAUGAGUCAAACACACAAUCAAUAGUAAUUAAUCUUUGUUUAACUAGCUUAUCUAACCGGAUUUAAUCAAUACUGUUAUAUCUGUCCCAAGAUACCAAACACGCC